CCUACGGGAGGCAGCAGUGGGGAAUUUUCCGCAAUGGGCGAAAGCCUGACGGAGCAACGCCGCGUGAGGGAGGAAGGUCUUUGGAUUGUAAACCUCUUUUCUCAAGGAAGAAGUUCUGACGGUACUUGAGGAAUCAGCCUCGGCUAACUCCGUGCCAGCAGCCGCGGUAAUACGGGGGAGGCAAGCGUUAUCCGGAAUUAUUGGGCGUAAAGCGUCCGCAGGUGGUCAGCCAAGUCUGCUGUCAAAUCAGGUUGCUUAACGACCUAAAGGCGGUGGAAACUGGCAGACUAGAGAGCAGUAGGGGUAGCAGGAAUUCCCAGUGUAGCGGUGAAAUGCGUAGAGAUUGGGAAGAACAUCGGUGGCGAAAGCGUGCUACUGGGCUGUAUCUGACACUCAGGGACGAAAGCUAGGGGAGCGAAAGGGAUUAGAUACCCCUGUAGUCCUAGCCGUAAACGAUGGAUACUAGGCGUGGCUUGUAUCGACCCGAGCCGUGCCGAAGCUAACGCGUUAAGUAUCCCGCCUGGGGAGUACGCACGCAAGUGUGAAACUCAAAGGAAU
rnacentral:rRNA from 1 species